rnacentral:rRNA from 1 species
UACGAAGGGGGGCUAGCGUUGCUCGGAAUCACUGGGCGUAAAGCGCACGAGGCGGACUCUUAAGUCGGUGGUGAAAUCCUGGAGCUCAACUCCAGAACUGCCUUCGAUACUGAGAGUCUCGAGUCCGGGGAGAGGUGAGUGGAACUGCGAGUGUAGAGGUGAAAUUCGUAGAUAUUCGCAAGAACACCAGUGGCGAAGGCGG